UACAGAGGGGGCAAGCGUUGUUCGGAAUUACUGGGCGUAAAGGGCGCGUAGGCGGCCUUCUAAGUCGAACGUGAAAUCCCCGGGCUCAACCCGGGAACUGCGUCCGAUACUGGAAGGCUUGAAUCCGGGAGAGGGAUGCGGAAUUCCAGGUGUAGCGGUGAAAUUCGUAGAUAUUGGGUGGAACACCGGUGGCGAAAGCGGCUCACUGGCUCGGUUCUGACGCUGAGGCGCGAAAGCGUGGGGAGCGAACAGG
rnacentral:rRNA from 1 species